rnacentral:rRNA from 1 species
UACGUAGGGGGCUAGCGUUGUCCGGAAUCAUUGGGCGUAAAGAGCGUGUAGGCGGCCCGGUAAGUCCGCUGUGAAAGUCGGGGGCUCAACCCUCGAAUGCCGGUGGAUACUGUCGGGCUAGAGUGUGGUAGGGGAGACUGGAAUUCCUGGUGUAGCGGUGGAAAUGCGCAGAUAUCAGGAGGAACACCGAUGGCGAAGGCAGGUCUCUGGGCCAUAACUGACGCUGGAGAAGCGAAAGCAUGGGGAGCGAACAGGA